AGUGGGGUGGGUCCUGAGAGCAGAUGGAAAUCAUGCGUGAGCCCAAGUGAGGUGUCUUGGGCGGGGGUGCCCCACAGCUGGGGACAGCCCCAUGUAGUAUUCAACUCUGCUGGGGUUGUGGGAUCAUAGGCCCAUCUUCUGAGGGCUCAUAGGAACCCCAAUAAGAAAGAGAGUCAGAUGAAAUCCAUAGAGACGGAGAGGAGAACGGUGGUACCCAGCGGCUGGGGGAGGGGGGGAGGUAGUGUUUAAUGGGGUCACAGCUUCAGCAUGGGAAGAUGAAAAAGUUCUAGAGACGGAUGGUGCAAUGGUUCCACAACACUGUGAGUAUGCUUAAUGCCACUGAACUGUCCAUUUGAAAAUGGUUAAAGUGGUAAAUUUUAUGCUAUGCACAUUUACCACAAUUAAAGAACAAAACGUCUGUGAAAAUAGUCUUUGGACGCUGGUUUACAAGGUGACUAAGAGGACUCCUGUCCCCCUGUGAGACUGAAGACAGAGCAGCAAUCAUUUAAAGUCUGUUGGGUGCGGACCCCCAGGUGACAAGAGACACAAAAGGACCCCAGGUGACUGGUGCACUUCCAUUUGUGCUGUGACAACAAGGAGGAAGUGACAGAAAUGACAGCCAACAAUGGAACAGAAAACUCAUGAAAAGGAUAAAUUGGAGCGCCUACGUCUGGAGGAGACCAUGAAAGAAAAACCAUGGCCGUUCCGUGGGCUUGGCCCCCGGAGUCGAUGGCCUCCCUCUGCCGCGCCCGGGGGGCUGAGGACACUUUCAAUCGCCAGCCUGCUGGCACUAGUGUCCUUUGAGGCUUUGGAGAAAGGCAAUGGGGUGAUUCACCCAGAAACCGGGCAGCGUCCUGUGGGGACGUGCACACAGACGUUUCCGCACCGGAGCCCCACGUCUGAUUCCAAUUCAUCAACAGCUGGCAAUAUUAAAGAGACUAGAGAACGUCCAAUGACAGGAUCUUGGCUGUGAUGGACAUUUUUAAAAGCUUCAUACAUGCAAAGUGUACAAUUGGAAAGCUCUGACAUAGGUGGACUUCUGUGAAACCAUCUCCACAGUCAGGAUAAUGAACCCAUCCAUCGCCCCAGAAGUCGCCUCUUGUUCCUUGUGAUCCCUGCCUCACGGCCCCAGCCUCCUCCCCAUCCCCAGGCAAACACUUGCAUGCAUUCAUUCACCAGGAAAUUUGGAAUUUC
rnacentral:lncRNA from 1 species